rnacentral:rRNA from 1 species
UACGUAGGGGGCAAGCGUUGUCCGGAUUUAUUGGGCCUAAAGCAUCCGUAGCCGGUUCUACAAGUCUUCCGUUAAAUCCACCUGCUUAACAGAUGGGCUGCGGAAGAUACUAUGGAGCUAGGAGGCGGGAGAGGCAAGCGGUACUCGAUGGGUAGGGGUAAAAUCCGUUGAUCCAUUGAAGACCACCAGUGGCGAAGGCGGCUUGCCAGAACGCGCUCGACGGUGAGGGAUGAAAGCUGGGGGAGCAAACCGG